rnacentral:pre_miRNA from 1 species
CAUUUAGUGGUUAUGUCAGCUACGGGUAUUCUUGGGUUAAUAAUGCUUUUUAGAUAUUAUUGCUUGAGAAUACACGUAGCUGCCGUAUCUAGAAGACAU